UGUAUUAGUUUUCACAUUACCUCCUAAAUAUUGGAUUUUCAAACCCCAUCAAAUUCACCCCGCCCAAUCUUCCCUUUUCCUAAACCCUCAAAUUCUCAAAUCUUCCCUCUUCCUAAGAAUUCACAAAUUCUGUAACUCACUCACACCCUUUCUUCCCUUCUGACCAAACCAAUUUCUAGGGUUUUUAUGUUGUUUAUGAAUCGUGGGUACCUUGGCCGGCUAAUCGGAGACGAAUGUACCACCACCGCCGGUGAAGUUGGCUGACUCUCUCUCUCUCUCUCAUGUGUAGUUUGGCCAUGUCGGAUUUGACUCAUUUGUGAGAUUGGAUGGUUACAAGAGAAUCCCAACCCCAAGCUUCCAAUUUCACAUUGUUUUCUUCUCACAUUCCUCCAUCAGGAUGGAUGCAGACUCUCCUUUUGAGUAAGUUUUGAUGAACCUAUUGCAACCGUUGAUUUCAUCACACUUCACAUGCCUCUCACUCCUGCUACAUCAAAGAUAUUGAAUGAUGAAAACUUUGAAAAGAUGAAAAAAAGGUGUUAGAAUAGUAAACGUUGCUGGUGGCGGAGUGAUAGAUGAAGAUGCUUUGGUUAGAUCAUUAGAUGCUGGCAUUGUAGCACAGGAUUGGAAAUUGAGAAAAGAUGGAACAAAGAAGUGCGUUUGUGUUGGCGUUGAGUGUGGGAAUAGGAAUAGGAGUUGAGCAGCUGUGGUGAUUCGUUGGCAAACGAGAUCACGCCACAGAUAAUGGAGCAUGAAAUGAAAAGUAUGAUUAUUGAUGGUAAAGACAACAAGGUCACUUUCUAUGAAUUUCCAUAUUAUCUAAGUGAGCAGACAAGGACCUUACUGACUAGUGCUGCUUUUGUUUAUUUAUCGAAAUAUCGAUUUUGCUAAGCACACACGAAACCUUGAUCCUGCAAGCCGAACUAUAUUGUUAUCAGGGCCUGCUGGUUAGUUGUUUAGUGUUCUGAAUGUUUUGGAACAAGAGGGCCUGAAGCUAUCCAGAAUCCCCUAAACCUGAGGAAAAAUGCAUCUACGGCAGCUAAUAUGACCGAGCUUGCUUCAAGCUAUACUCCUGUAAAUCCAGCUCCACUUAGACGCACAAGCAGCUGGUCUUUUGAUGAAAAGCUUUUUGUACAGAACCUAUACAAGGCCGCACUUGAUGUAGUCACUGUAGAACCUCCACUGAAGGAUAGCAAGUUGGUAAAUCAUGAAAAUGUCACUGUCACUCCUCAUCCUGGUGCUAGCACCACAGAAGCUCAGGUUUGUAAAUAACCACAAGAGCUGCGGCAUUUGUUUGGAUUUUGUAAAGGUCGUUAUUUGGAUAUAUUUAUAUAGAAAUUGGUCGAUUUUCAUCAUCUUUUUGACUUUAGAGGUGGCAAGAUGGGUGGAUUGGCCAGGUUGGGUAAUGGAUCAAAAUGGGUUUAGGUCGAAUCGGGUCAUUUUGAGUAUGGAUCAACACGACUUGUACGGGUCAAAUGUGUUUAGCAGAGGCAAUCAGGCAAACUAGAUUGUGAGGCAGCUUGCAAGAAUAACUGCUCAUGCACCGCCUAUGCAAAUCCAAACAUCGCUGCAGGUAGAGUUGGGUGCUUGCUAUGGUUUGGGGGUUUGAUUGAUGUCCGAGUGUACCCACAAAAUUGGCAAGAUCUUUAUGUUAGACUUGCCGCCUCAGAAUUAUCAGCUUCGAUGGAAAGAAACGGCUAAUUAUGCAGACAAAACAUGAUGAACUACAUGAAGUUGUUUCGCAAAGGAGUUUUGAUUAGCUGAGACAAAAAAGACCAGCUAAGGGCCGAAAUGAAAGUGGGGAGACUCUUUUAGAGAAUGAGAGGAGGUUAUGUUGUUGCAAGUGUUGCUAGGAGUGAUGCAGGCUGAGACCAAAGUGUUCUUGUUGCAAGUGCUGCAGGUUAUGUUGCAGUUGUUACAUCAUUUGUAGAUAACUUUUGAUUGGUAGUUUAUGUAUUUAGUUUUAGUAGAUAACUUUGCAUUAGUAGUUUAUGUAUUUAGUAUUAAAAUUGAAAACUUAUGUAUGAAUUUUGGUUUAUUAUUGUUAAUAUCAAUAAUUUGGUUUUUA